CUACGGGUCGCUGCAGUCGAGAAUAGUCUACAAUGGACGAAAGUCUGAUAGUGCGACGCCGCGUGGAUGAAGAAGCAUUUCGGUGUGUAAAGUCCUUUUCUGUGUGAGCAAUGUUUUCCAGGUUAAUAGCUUGGAGAAAGCGAUAUUAACACAGGAAUAAGCUCCGGCUAACGUCCGUGCCAGCAGCCGCGGUAACACGGGGGGAGCAAGCGGUGUCCGGAAUUACUAGGCGUAAAGGGUAAGUAGGCGGAAUUGUAAGUCAGAUGUUAAAGGCACCGGCUCAACCGGUGUAUGGCAUUUGAUACUGUAAUUCUAGAGUAAGGUGGGGGAAGACGGAAUUCCUGGUGUAGCGGUGGAAUGCGCAGAUAUCAGGAGGAACACCAGAGGCGCAGGCGGUCUUCUAUACCAUUACUGACGCUCAAUUACGAAGGUGUGGGUAUCAAACAGGAUUAGAUACCCCCGUAGUC
rnacentral:rRNA from 1 species